AUUGAACGCUGGCGGCGUGCCUAAUACAUGCAAGUCGAACGAGUGGCGGACGGGUUAGUAACACGUGGGAACCUACCCAUCAGAAGGGGAUAACACGUGGAAAAAGGUGCUAAUACCGUGUACGGAUGGAUGGACCCGCGGUGCAUUAGCUAGUUGGUGAGGUAACGGCUCACCAAGGCCACGAUGCCUAGCCGGUCUGGGAGGGUGAUCAGCCACACUGGGACUGAGACACGGUCCAGACUCCUACGGGAGGCAGCAGUGGGGAAUAUUGCACAAUGGGCGCAAGCCUGAUGCAGCCAUGCCGCGUGUAUGAAGAAGGCCUUCGGGUUGUAAAGUACUUUCAGCGGGGAGGCGUUACCCGCAGAAGAAGCACCGGCUAACUCCGUGCCAGCAGCCGCGGUAAUUC
rnacentral:rRNA from 1 species